UGGAUAGACUGUUAGAGGGAGAGAAGUCUAAGGAAAACUGUCAUAUCUCAUGAUGUUCUCUUCUUGUGUACUUCUUCUUUAGUGAGCUUCAGUUAUCUAACCAAAGAUCGCACUGCUUUCCCACAUUGUGGACAUUGGCACUCAUCGCCAGGAAAAGUAGUGUGAUCAUAUGUGUAAUAUGUCCCUUUUCUGAUAAGUAAGGAUAUGUAAAUCAUGGUACAAUUAUGGAGGGCAUUGUAGGUAAGUACUAAGAUCUUAAAGUUAAUCAACAAUGAUAUAAAAAUCCUAAAUUAAUUCACUGAAAUAUGUUUCAAAUUAAA